GACGGAUGCAAAGAUUCCGGAUGCCCAAUACGGCUACGAAAAAGCACUGACCUAUACCCUGGCAGCUCACGCUGGUGCGAACAGGCUUUGUGA
rnacentral:ncRNA from 1 species